UACAUUUUAUUAGUGUGAAUGCUGCAAGCAACAAUAGUGGGCUGUGCUCGCCAGCCCACUAUUGUUAUUCCUUGACCCUCUUCUUAUUAGUGGGCUGUGCUCGCCAGCCCACUAUGGACACCUCUAUAGCAGAGCUAUAGGUGUCCAUAGUGGGCUGUGCGGAGCAUUGUUAUUGCUCGCUCCUCCUUUUACUAGUGUGAAUGCUGCAAGCAUUCACACUAUUGUUCUUCUGGUGUUUAUUAAAGUUAUUGUUCUUCUGGAAUUUAUUAAAGUUAUUAUUAGUGUGAAUGCUGCAAGCAUUCACACUAUUGUUCUUCUGGAAUUUAUUAAAGUUAUUAUUAUUCAUGAUUCCGUACGUUUUUCAGCACUCUUCUCCUCCUUCAAACUUUGUCCGAUUGAAACCAUUCAAAUAUCAAAAUGUUCAGCUUUUUAAGGACAUGAUGGUGUGUAUUUUUCUCGUUUCAAUCUUUUAUACUUUUGGAAAUAUUAAGCUUUUAAUGCAAAAUUUUUCCCAUUCAUUCUUAUGGGGAUUUUUUCAAAUUUCAUUCUGCUAGGGUUUAGGGUUAGGGUACCUACCCUACCCUAACCCUUAGAAGCCCAGGAGCGACAAGCACUCCUGAAUGUUCCCCAUAAGCCGCAAUGUUAAUAUUGAGCCUUAAUUUCUGGAGGAUCGCAGACGGUACAUGUUUUGUCUCUCGCUCCUGUGUCCUCAUUAUGCACUUUACAGAAAUAUAAAUGACAUGAGUGCGUUCAGCAAUGUCUCCUGUUACUCAACAUAUAGCAUGUUUUGGCGAUAACUAUUACAGUUUUCUCAAGAAUCGCAGGAGUUUGGCACGCAUUCUCCCAUUCAUUCCUUAUGGGGACACUUUCGUCUGUGUUUCUGCUCCUGCUGCAGCAUGUCUGCAGCCAUUUGAAGCUCUUUCUGCCUUUAACUUCUCACCUGUCAGCCUUUUUUCACCUUUUUAACCUCUUUCUGCCCUCUUACUCUACAACUUUUUGGCCUUUUCAGUCUUUUUUUCACCUUUUUAAGCUCAUUCCUCCCUCUUACUCUACAGCUGUUCAUAUGUUUUCACCUUUUAACCUCUUCCAGGCCUCUUACUCUACUGCUUGUCAUCCUUUAUUCACCUUUUUAACCUCUUCCAGCCCUCUUAUUCUACAGCUUUUCAUAUGUUUUCACCUUUUAACCUCUUCCAGCCCUCUUACUCUACAGCUUUUCAUCCUUUUUCACCUUUUUAACAUCUUCCAGCCCUCUUACUCUACAGCUUUUCAUAUGUUAUCACCAUUUUAACCUCUUCCAGCCCUCUUACUCUACAACUGUUCAUAUUUUUUCACCUUUUUAACCUCUUCCAGCCCUCUUACUCUACAGCUUUUCAUGUUUUCACCUUUUGAACCUCUUCCAGCCCUCUUACUCUACAGGUUUCAUCCUUUUUCACCUUUUUAAACUUUUUCGGUCCUCGUCAGCCUUGAACUUUUUGCCUUUUUUGCCUUCUUUCACCUUUUUAAGCUCUUUCAGCCGUGUUACUCUACAGCUUUUUAGCCUUUUUAGAUAUUCAUGUUUCUGCCUUUUCAACUCCUUCAAACAUACAACUUCAUGUUCAGCUAGAGAAACUGUUCAGCUAUCAAAAUGUUCAACUUUUUUAGCCCAUUAAACCUAUUGCUUUUAAGCCUUUCUGCCUUACCAGCUUUUGGAAAAUUCUGCUUUUUCUGCAAAAUCCCGACUAUUCAGCCUAUAGUUUUAUGCAUUUCCGGCAGUACGUUCAGCAGAUUUCGCUUCAGUCUUCAGCAUUCACACUGUAUUUUCGUAGGAAAUGCAAAUUUUUCUAGUUAUUAUUCCUGCUUCCGUACGUUUUUCAGCACUUUUCAACUCCUUCAAACUUUGACCGAUUUAAACCAUUCAGGUAUCAAAACGUGCAGCUUUUUAAGGACAUUACUGCUAUUACUUUUGGUUUUUCCAACUAUUAUACUUUUGGAAAUAUUCAGCUUUUAAUGCAAAAUUUUCCCCAUUCAUCCUUAUGGGGAUUUUUUCAAAUUUCAUUCUGCUAUAACUUCAGCAUACCUCUUUAACCUCUUCCAAUCCUCUUACUCUACAUCUUUUUAUCUUUUCAUCCUUUUCUCACCUAUUGGAGCUCUUUCACCCUCAAACUUUUUUUACCUUUUCAUCCUUUUUUCACCUUUUUAACCUCUUCAAGCCCUCUUACUCUACAGAUUUUCAUCCUUUAUUCACCUUUUUAACCUCUUCCAGCCCUCUUACUCUACAGCUUUUCCUCCUUUAUUCACCUUUUUAACCUCUUCAGGCCCUCUGACUUUACAGCUUUUCAUAUGUUUUCACCUUUUUAACCUCUUCCAGCCCUCUUACUACACAGCUUUUCAUCCUUUUUCACCUUUUUAAACUUUUUUGGUCCUCGUCAGCCUUUAACUUUUCACCUUUUAUGCCUUCUUUCAACUUUUAAGCUCUUUCAGCCCUGUUACUCUACAGCUUUUUAGCCUUUUUAGAUAUUCAUGUUUCUGCCUUUUCAACUCCUUCAAACAUACAACUUCAUGUUCAGCUAGAGAAACUGUUCAGCUAUCAAAAUGUUUAACUGUGGUAGCCCAUUAAUCCUUUUGCUUUUAAGCCUUUCUGCCUUACCAGCUAUUGGAAAAU
rnacentral:lncRNA from 1 species